GAACGCAUAUUGCGCUCUUUGGUAUUCCGAAGAGCAUGCUUGUUUGAGUAUCAGUAAACACCUCAAAGCUUUUGAUUUUUUUUUAAAAGUUUUGGACUUGAGCAAUCCCAACACCAAUCUUUUUCAGAUCGGCGGCGGGUUGCUUGAAAUGCAGGUGCAGCUGGACAUUCUCCUGAGCUAAAAGCAUAUUUAUUUAGUCCCGUCAAACGGAUUAUUACUUUUGCUGCAGCUAAUAUAAAGGGAGUUUGACCGUAUUGGCUGACUGAUGCAGGAUUUCACAAGGGUCGGCAACGAUUCUUGUAAAACUCGAUCUCAAAUCAAGUAAGACUACCCGCUGAACUUAAG
rnacentral:misc_RNA from 1 species